UGUAGCAGGCUAGUUAUUCUGUGGAGGUAGUUACCUGUAUCAGGCUCGGUGUUCUGUGGAGGUAGUGACCUGUUGAACUAUCGUCACUCAGUUUCACAGUUUACUGCUCCUUAGCAGCUGACAGGACCUUCAAUUCCCGUCGUCGUCACCAAAGAUGCUGAAGAAGCAGAGCUGCACGUGACCAUCCAGGGUCAGCAGUACACCCCCUCAUUAGGACCAGAAAGAGUGAAGGUUGUUGCUGUACCAGAGCAUCAUAGGAAGAGUCAGAAAAAACAGAUGUUGGAACAUACAGAAUCCCUCUGGCCAGCAGCACUCUACAGAACUGCCGAGGACGUCUUAUGAUCAGAUGUGGUGCAGGAGGCACAGACCCCAGAAUCAGGCCGAUUUGCUAGAUUGGUGCUCAACCCAGCACGGAGGGAAAGGAGCUGGCCAGAUUCGAACCCUGGACCACUCACCUCGAAAUCUGGUGUAGAUGCCACUACACCACCAGCCAGCACAGGACUUGUGCCUCUCUCGAAACCCUUUGGACUCCAACAGCAGUAAAGAAGAUCCUUGAAAGAUGCUCAGACCGAAAUCUCUUCCUCGGACUACAGGCAGAGAGAUGGAAGGCAGCUACUGCAAUGUUAACCUCAGCAGUGUGUGUCUUGCCAAAGACUAUUGAUUUUAAACGACGUUGAGAGCUAGAGACUGUCAGCUUGACAGUUUGCAGAUGCCAAGCGAAUCUCUCCGAAGGAUCAGAUGGAACAUCGUCUGGGCUUCUGAAAAUGGAACUAUUUCCCCUCAGCCAUUUCACCGACACAGUGCUAUCCUGGUGUGUCUGGAACUUGUCAGCAUACUGGGGGUACUUCCCAAAAUAUCUGAAAGACAUGACAAAGAACCACCCAAAUCCUCUGUGUCCUCAGCCACCCUACAGCCAAGGGGUUACUGACAGCCAAGAUCUGACGGGAGGUUAACGGGCUUGAUUCUACACGAAUCAGACACAGAUAUCGUCCUGUCGACUUACGCCGAUGACAUCCUCCUCAUCAUCACCGACCCGGAUGACUUCCGGAGGAUGUGAGACUGCCC